rnacentral:tRNA from 1 species
UAUGCUUUAGUAUAUGAUGUAUGAAGGUUUUUGAUUCCUUGGGAGAUAGUUUGAUUCUGUCAAGUAUAA